CUCUACCCCUCCUGUUUGAUAACUUGGAAACGGUUGAGCUCCCCACCCCUAAACCAUAUGAGGGGCAGAUCCAGGAUUUUAGGUUAGGAGGGCGCAAACUUUAAAUUUUGCCGAGCAGAGCGAGGCUAAAAAAAUUUGAGGUAAAAUUAUCGGAAUAUUCUUUAUUAAGCUAAGAACAACCCAUGCUUUGCAAAUUUAAGGGGUGUGCAAGCCCGCAACCCUCCCUCGUCUGAAUCAACCCCUGCAUAUAUUCAAGUAUAGG
rnacentral:lncRNA from 1 species